ACAACAGCAUUCGGACCGUCGGUCUAUCGAGCAAUAUCACUCGCUCGUUGGAAGAUCUUCCCUUCGUCGUAAAUC
rnacentral:pre_miRNA from 1 species